GGGGGUGUGACUCAGUGUUAGAGUGUAUGCCUAGUAUUUGUGAGGCCCUGGGUUCAAUCCUCAGCUACUCCA
rnacentral:tRNA from 1 species